ACAAUAAAUACUGAUACAGGGCUCUUUUGGGUCUUGUAAUUGGAAUGAGUACAAUUUAAAUCCCUUAACGAGGAACAAUUGGAGGGCAAGUCUGGUGCCAGCAGCCGCGGUAAUUCCAGCUCCAAUAGCGUAUAUUAAUGUUGUUGCAGUUAAAAAGCUCGUAGUUGGAUUUCUGCCGAGGACGACCGGUCCGCCCUCUGGGUGAGUAUCUGGCUCGGCCUGGGCAUCUUCUUGGAGAACGUAGCUGCACUUGACUGUGUGGUGCGGUAUCCAGGACUUUUACUUUGAGGAAAUUAGAGUGUUUCAAGCAGGCUUACGCCUUGAAUA
rnacentral:rRNA from 1 species